UGGGGAAUAUUGGACAAUGGGCGCAAGCCUGAUCCAGCCAUGCCGCGUGAGUGAUGAAGGCCCUAGGGUUGUAAAGCUCUUUCACCGGUGAAGAUAAUGACGGUAACCGGAGAAGAAGCCCCGGCUAACUUCGUGCCAGCAGCCGCGGUAAUACGAAGGGGGCUAGCGUUGUUCGGAUUUACUGGGCGUGAAGCGCACGUAGGCGGACUUUUAAGUCAGGGGUGAAAUCCCGGGGCUCAACCCCGGAACUGCCUUUGAUACUGGAAGUCUUGAGUAUGGUAGAGGUGAGUGGAAUUCCGAGUGUAGAGGUGAAAUUCGUAGAUAUUCGGAGGAACACCAGUGGCGAAGGCGGCUCACUGGACCAUUACUGACGCUGAGGUGCGAAAGCGUGGGGAGCAAACAGG
rnacentral:rRNA from 1 species